rnacentral:rRNA from 1 species
UACGAAGGGGGCUAGCGUUGCUCGGAAUCACUGGGCGUAAAGCGCACGUAGGCGGCUUGUUAAGUCAGGGGUGAAAUCCUGGAGCUCAACUCCAGAACUGCCUUUGAUACUGGCGAGCUUGAGUUCGGGAGAGGUGAGUGGAACUGCGAGUGUAGAGGUGAAAUUCGUAGAUAUUCGCAAGAACACCAGUGGCGAAGGCGGCUCUCUGGAACGGUACUGACGCUGAGACGCGAAAGCGUGGGGAGCGAACAGG